GCCACAGCUCUACCCGGCCUUACGUGUCCGAGGAUGUUUGGGGGGAGCUUGCUUGCUUGUCGCAUGCAUACUCACGCACUUGUGUCAUAUUGCCUGCCAGUCCUGUGAGUCAUGGCGACCUGCCAUAUGAUCUGGCAAGCAGGUGCAUCUGCCUCUGAGCCGCCCGCUGUGGCCUCUUGCCAUCGGCCCUCACAGCUCUGCCAGUGGGCAGCCGCCAGCUCCACGUCUGAUCCACACGCCGCGACCUCCGUGACCUUGGCCUAGCUUCUACAGCUGUGUGAUCCGUUGUCUUUGGAGGAAUUCAUAUAAACGUGUCUGUCACUGCUUUGGCUGCUUGGGGGAACCCAGCCUAAGCCCUGAAUUGCUUAAACUUACUGUUGGAAUUGAGACAGGCUGCAAGUGUAAACUACUUUUUGAACUUUGAAGUUUUCGUGUAGAAAAACAAAAUGAAGAAUGGAAAUAUCUCAUGGAUCAUUUAUAUCAAACACGUGGAAGCUGCCCUGGACCGAAGCUAAGGCACCCACGAAUGCUGAAUGCUCACGGACUGGCUCUUGCCUCCCUGGAGGUCGUGACGAGAAGGCAACAAAGACUUCUGCUCUCUCACUAGCUUUCCGGUUCUGACUUUUUCUUGGUCUCUUUGAAAUCGCCUUGCAAUUUUGAAAGAUUAGAAUGUGAUCCUACGGGAUUUUUUCUACCCAAGCCGUUCAGAUUUGAUUUUUUUAAUAAAGCGAAAGUCAAUGAUUCUAA